CUUUUUAGGCCUCUACCAGGAUUGUUCCCUGUCUGUCUGCACCCACUGUCUUCUACAGAAGUCAUUGUGUGAGAAAAAAAUGUGUGAGCUACAAUGAAAGACCUACUCAAGGAACCUAGAUUUGGGUACAAUGAAGCUUUUCACCUUUCUCACAUCUCAAAGAAGAAUUCUAACCAGAAGGAUGUAAGGCAGCAAUCUCAAGUAUCUUGACUUCUAAGGAAGUGAAAGCCUAGUUUUCUGGUAAAUCCUGUGAAUACUGCAAUUCCAGUCAAAUCUUACUUUGCUUAGCUUUUGAUGACUAAGAUGACAAGAUAAUACAAUGCCAUUAUGCAAAUGCUGUAAACAACAG
ensembl:lncRNA